AAAGAUGAAAAGCCUGCAACCGUUGGUUUUGCUCUGUGCUCGAGUGGAAAGGGUCGUGGGCGAAUUGAAAAGGUUGACAAAUCUCACCUCUUAUGUACUCACUGCAAGAAGAUUGGCCAUGAGGUCAGUAACUGCUUUGAAAAAAUAGGCUAUUCGGAGUGGUGGGAGGAAUGAAUGAAACAAUCUGGUGGAGCAGGGCGAGGCCGACUUUCUACUUCAUCUUUGUAAUCGACUAGUCGUAACCAGGGGGUACAGUGCGUGCCAAUGCAACAACUGUUACUGCUUUUGAUAGCGUUGUAGGAUUGAGCGACAAUAACAUCACUUUAGCAGCACCUCCUUCAUCAUUUACGGCUGAACAAUGGAAAGCUCUCGCAAGCGUGUUUGGACCAAACGAGGAAGUUGAUUGGAAUGGGAAGUAAGCAAGAUGGACUCUACUUGUAACAAUCCGAUUUUGACCCUAGUCAGAAUAAUGGUUUCGGGAUCACAAAUACGAGUCCAAAAAAUAUUUUAAUAUUAUUUUCUGUGUCUGUGAUAUGUGAAUUUACAUUUGUGAAAUUUCUGUGAUUUAAUUUGUCUUUUUCUGUGUUUAAUUAUGAAAAAGGAUUAUAUCGCAUAAUGUGUAAAAGUUGAGUGCUAGAUGCUAAAGCACCUAUUUGACUUGGCUUUUAAAAUAUGAGGUCUUUAAGAUGCAAUUAGACCAUUUUUAUAUGAUAUGGACAAUUAUGGGCAUUAGUGGAUGGAAA